AUUGAACGCUGGCGGCAGGCCUAACACAUGCAAGUCGAGCGGAUGAAGGGAGCUUGCUCCUGGAUUCAGCGGCGGACGGGUGAGUAAUGCCUAGGAAUCUGCCUGGUAGUGGGGGAUAACGUCCGGAAACGGGCGCUAAUACCGCAUACGUCCUGAGGGAGAAAGUGGGGGAUCUUCGGACCUCACGCUAUCAUAUGAGCCUAGGUCGGAUUAGCUAGUUGGUGGGGUAAAGGCCUACCAAGGCGACGAUCCGUAACUGGUCUGAGAGGAUGAUCAGUCACACUGGAACUGAAACACGGUCCAGACUCCUACGGGAGGCAGCAGAGGGGAAUAUUGGAAAAUGGGCGAAAGACUGAUCCAGCCAUGCCGCGUGUGUGAAGAAGGUCAUCGGAUUGUAAAGCACUUUAAGUUGGGAGAAAGGGCAGUAAGUUAAUACCUUGCUGUAUUGACGUUACCAACAGAAUAAGCACCGGCUAACUUCGUG
rnacentral:rRNA from 1 species